UGCACAGUCAGCUAGAUUGUGUGUGGUUUUCUUUUUUAAUGCCUAGAUGGUAGCUUAGAAAGAUUAGAGGGCAAUGAUCGUAUCCUGCUUUUAACAGACAGAAUAUUUGUGCAUUGAGCAGGGAGAAGUUUGUAUACUGAAGUCAGGCGUCCCUCUGCACCAACCUCCUUUAGGUUCUAAAGAUGCAAAUUACAUCUUUGUUCUGUAUGAUCAAAUUAUUUUCCUAAUGGACAAGUCAGGCUUUACCUUUUCCUGUGGCUGGCUAAAUGUGCUGGGAUGGAUUAGCUCAAUGCACUCAACCGAUCAAAGCUGUCCAGGUUGGAUGAAGUGGACACUGACAAAAGUGUUCAAAAAAAGGAGUGGGCUGUCUGCAGGUGCUGUGGACAGACACUGUUUAUGCCAAACUGUUA